CCAUCACCGCCGACGCCUCGGCGGCGGGGGCCGAGGCCGCGGGUGGGUGCGCUGGGCUGGGCAUGGGCGGUGGGGCGCGGUGCGGUGCCGUGCGGUGAAGCUCAGCGCCGCUUUCGGGGCAUUUGUCCCGCGGCGGGAUGGGGCGCGGGAUGGGGCGCGGGAGCCUGUAACUGAAGCGCCCUCACAGGCGGUACGGCUGAGCGGAGCGAGCCCGGGCGGCAUUUUACGGAGAAUCACAGUAUCACAGAACACUCGGAGUUGGAAGGGACCCACAAGGAUCAUCGAGUCCAACUACUGGCCCUGCAGAGGACCAGGAGUCACACCAUGUGCCUGAGGGAAAUGCUGAACAUCAUGGAGAUCCAAGCCUUAAGACAUGCAAUCCAUUCCUGUGAGGCUGAAUCUUCUGGAUGCUACCUCUUUGGUUCCUAGAGUUGAGUCACAAAGCAACUAUCCCCAUAGUCAUAAUGUUGUUUAUUCUUACCUAUGUAAAAUACACCCAGUGAUCUCUCUUAUGAGGGCUGGUGAUACUAUAAACAGAAAAGUGUUUUUAGUUGCCAAUAUCCUGUUCAUGUACUUAUUCUUGCAUGGGGCUGAGGAUGAAUUAGACAAUUUAAUGUACACCAUCAGUGCAAUAAAAUAUUAAAAAAUCAAGAA